AUUCCAGCUCCAAUAGCGUAUAUUAAAGUUGUUGCAGUUAAAAAGCUCGUAGUUGAACUUUAGCUCUGGCUGGGUGGUGCGGCCUUCUGGUCGUUACUGCUCUGGCUGGGGUUCACCUUCUGGUGAACCGGUAUGUUCUUUAGUGAGUGUGCCGGGAAACCAGGACUUUUACCCUGAAAAAAUUAGAGUGUUUAAAGCAGGCUUACGCUUGAAUACAUUAGCAUGGAAUAAUAAAAUAGGACUUUGGUUCUAUUUUGUUGGUUUCUAGGACCGAAGUAAUGAGUAAUAGGGAUAGUUGGGGGCAUUAGUAUUUAAUUGCUAGAGGUGAAAUUCUUGGAUUUAUGAAAGACUAACUUCUGCGAAAGCAUUUGCCAAGAAUGUUUUCAU
rnacentral:rRNA from 1 species